UAAUACGUAGGGUGCGAGCGUUAAUCGGAAUUACUGGGCGUAAAGCGUGCGCAGGCGGUUUCGUAAGACAGGCGUGAAAUCCCCGGGCUUAACCUGGGAACUGCGCUUGUGACUGCGAGGCUAGAGUACGGCAGAGGGAGGUAGAAUUCCACGUGUAGCAGUGAAAUGCGUAGAGAUGUGGAGGAAUACCGAUGGCGAAGGCAGCCUCCUGGGCCAGUACUGACGCUCAUGCACGAAAGCGUGGGGAGCAAACAGGAUUAGAUACCCUGGUAGUCCACGCCCUAAACGAUGUCAACUAGGUGUUGGUGGGGUUAAACCCAUUAGUACCGCAGCUAACGCGUGAAGUUGACCGCCUGGGGAGUACGGCCGCAAGGUUAAAACUCAAAUGAAUUGACGG
rnacentral:rRNA from 1 species